AAAGGGGAAGCUCGGGCUGCAGUAGGGGAAGCCUGUGGCACUAGGGUUCACCCUAACUGUGGGGAGGAGGGGACCUCCUUCUUCUCCAGAAAGUGACGUUGAAGUCAAAAGCUUAAAGCUGUUUAGAGGCGAGUCAAAAGGUUUAGGAUGAAAGGUUUAGAGGAAAACAUUCUAGACUGAGGCAAGAAAAUGUGUGAAGACUCCAAGGUGGGAAAGAGAACUGGAAGAAAUCUGGCUGAACUGUUACAGAAAUCGAUCUUCAAGGUCUCUGCUUAGGAUUCUUUUUCUCUUCAAGUGCUGUGUAGGAAGACGUUGGGUGUUCUCGCUUCAUCUCGGUAGAGACCUAGAGGGUCGGGAGGUUUUUUUAACGAGAUUCUUUGCUUUUCGUGGUGUUUUCCUUGAAUCUCCCAGAGGACAAGCAAUGCCAUCUGGUGUCAUUUCUGAGUCUUCCCGACUGCUCAGAUGGAGAAGUGGCUGCUUCCUCCUCUGGCUCCUAACACAUCUUGGAAAUGUUUCAACACUUCCAAGGUGCAUUAAAGGAAAACUUGGAUUCAUACUCAAUCCACUGAGCCACACCAGCCAAGACAAUUAUAGGAAAACUUUUACCAUAUUUGGAACAACUUGGAAUACAGUGCUGUGGAGAAAGCGCAAUGGAAAUACAAGUUCAUAAAGAUGAAAGAAUGA